GAUAAUGGUGUCUGUGUCCUCUGGGGAGCUCCAUUAAAAUGUCAUGAAGGUCUAACAGAGGGAUUAGGACGAGUGGAUGAACAUGCUGGACUGAGGUGGAACACCCUCGUCACAGCUGUAAUGGAUGCUGCCAAGCCUAACAUGACAGCGCUUCCCUUCAGGAUGGAUGUUUCCUGCAUGAAUGUGCCUGGGAAAUCACUGCGUCAACAAGUAAAGCCACUAGGCACCCCCAAGAGAAGCUGAAUACAUGAAAACCUGAGCAUGAUAACCGGCUACAGUGACUCACACGCAGGGUAUAAUAGAGGCGCCGUGCUCCGUGCAGCGGCUGAGUGGUACUCUGAUGACACAGCUGGUGAAGGCCACGAACAAGGCAUGAUGCUCCUUAUCCAGCUCCAUUCCCAGAAUCCUCCUGUCAUCCUGCCCCUGAACGUUACACCUGUGGCAAAAUAUGGUCACAUGACACAGAGAAAUCGUUAUAUUGUUUGGUACUGCCCUACAGUACCUGCUGGUGGUGCGGGUGAAGCAGGGCCGGUCGUUGACGGAGGGGACCGCCUCGUCCAUCAGCGGAAGGCACACACUGCCGAGCCAGGGAUACUGAGGAGGGAGACAGGCGCAAAGAGCUUGUUUAAAAAAAGAAAAGAGCCUCGUGGGAUUGAGCUGUCGAAAAGUUGCCCAUGGAGUCCAUGGGGGAUCAUAAAGAGGGGACGGGAUGAUGUCAAAUGUCUCAACCUCGAUGAUCGUUCAGCCAUCCCCACCGAUCAUCCUAAGAUGUCUCAAGACAAAGUUGACCUACUCUCAUUAACAGGGCGACUAAUUCUGGUCUUUCCCGUGCAGUUUUAUUAAAUAGAAAAUACAUCUAAAUGUUACAUUAAAUAUAUCCCCCAAAUAAAUGGAUAAAUGCUGACCUUUACGCAUGGUUUGACUGACGAGGUAAGUUAUGACUGAUGUUUGCAUCUACUUUCUUGUUUUCACAUGUGCUUUGGUAGUUAUUGUGCAAUGAACAUGACCUAUUCCUCUUUUGUCAGGAUACGAGGAUGGGAGACAUGUCAGCAACUCAACUAAAUCAAGACUGGACAUAGGACCCCAGUUUUUGCCUGGUGUCUGGUGUCAUACAGUAAGGCCUCGUGGACAGAAGAGCUUUCUGCUUCAGAUUAAGGAAGAGCAGCUGUGAGAUCUGAGAUCCCCAAACAAGAGAUGACUAUCUGGCUGUAAAGACUUGAAGAUAGGAGUCGUUUGGAUCUCUA